UGAGCCCUAUGGAAAUCAGACACUGCCUC
rnacentral:piRNA from 1 species